rnacentral:rRNA from 1 species
UACGUAGGGUGCAAGCGUUGUCCGGAAUUAUUGGGCGUAAAGAGCUCGUAGGCGGUUUGUCGCGUCUGCUGUGAAAACUCAGGGCUUAACCCUGAGCCUGCAGUGGGUACGGGCAGACUAGAGUGUGGUAGGGGAGAUCGGAAUUCCUGGUGUAGCGGUGGAAUGCGUAGAGAUCCGGAAGAACACCGGUGGCGAAGGCGGUUAGCUGGGGCAGUUGCUGACACUGAGGCGCGACAGCGUGGGGAGCAAACAGG